rnacentral:lncRNA from 1 species
CCCUAUCGGGCCAUCGGGCGGUCGGGCCAAACCCGCCCAUAUUUUUUUAAAAAAAAAUUUUGUUUUAAAAAUAAUUUAAAUUAGAAAGAUUAACUAACUUCAUGAAUUUAAAUAGCCUUUUACUAUUAGUCUAUUAAAUACAUACCACUUGUGAAGCAACGAAUCAAAGCAAAAUUAUGUAGAAAUAAAUAACUCCAUGAAUUUAAAAAGUUGUACGAAUCCAAACAAAAUUAAAUAGAUAUUAAUUAAACUAAAUAAUCUGAUAAGAGGUCACCAACAAAUCCAAACAAAAUAAAAGUAGAAUACAAAAUAGACUUAAGAAUCAAGAUUCCAAUGAUUCAACAUCGACAAUGUUUGAAUCUUCCUUGGACAAUCGACUUUCUUCAGAAUCCUGCUCAUCUGUAUUACAAAAUAAAAAAAUUAAAAAAAUAAUAUGAAAUUAAAGAACAAAAUAUAAAUAAAAAAUGAGUAAGAUAAAUAUUAUUACCAGAAUCAUCACCAGGUCCAGCAGCAACUUCAAGACCAUGCAACCAAUUUCGAGUACAAAUGAGUGCUUGUACAUUUUCGGGAAGCAAACAAUUCC